GACGAGGGGUCCUAGCGUUGUUCGGAAUCACUGGGCGUAAAGCGUAUGUAGGCGGCUUUUCAAGUCAGGUGUGAAAUCCCAUGGCUUAACCAUGGAACUGCAUUUGAAACUGUAAAGCUUUGAGUAUUGGAGAGGAUGGUAGAAUUCCUGGUGUAGUGGUGAAAUACGUAGAUAUCAGGAGGAAUACCGGUGGCGAAGGCGGCCAUCUGGCCAAAUACUGACGCUGAGAUACGAAAGUGUGGGGAUCAAAACAGG
rnacentral:rRNA from 1 species